UGUUGAAACACUAGUUCCCAUACGAUCACUGAAGUUAAACAACAUUGUAUCUGGUCAGUACCUAGAUGGGUGACUGCUACAGAAUACCAAGUGCUGUAA